AUCGUAUAAUGGCUAUUACCUCAGCCUUCCAAGCUGAUGACGCGGGUUCGACUCCCGCUGCU
rnacentral:ncRNA from 13 species